GAACUGAAGAAAGCUCAGAAAAGAAAUAUGACGUGUACGUAGGCGUCACCGUAUAUGCUACUGGGGCUUCAUGACACCUAUAUAGGCGUCACCGUAUUGAAGGGGUUAAACUGAUGUAUUUAUAUUCUAAUUUUAUGAAACUUUAUAUCUCAGUCAACAACCUACGAACUAUCUGUUUGGAACAUGCCAAGAUUGGGGACCAGAGUUUAUCUCCUUCUCUUGAGAACAUUGUUUUCUCUUCAUCGCCUUCACAAGUUCUCUAUAAUCUUCAGGUGCUGUAUUGACUGCUUAUGCCAGCCCACAACCCCAUGGCAGAGAAGGCCCUUGAGUUCCAGUACAAUUUCAUGAAGAGCGAAGGAAUGAAGAUUAUUAUAGAUGUGUUGGCUAAAAACAAUUUUCUGUCCAACACAGACAUGCUAA